UUGUAAAUUAAUUAAAAUAACCUAAUAAGACAAAUGAUAAAAGCUAUCAUUUUUUUUCAUUCUUUCUUCUUCAACCGUGGGAAAGAACAGAAAAUAGCAGCCAUGGAUGAGCUCCAUUCGGCCAAGCUUUUAUGGCUUAUAUAGAUGAUGAAAAUUGAGACUUGGACCUAGAACGGAAAGAAAUCGAUUUAUGGACGAGUAUGUCCUUUUCACAUUUGUGGUAUCGAGGUAAGUUCGUAUGUAAACAAUACCAUGCUAUACAUGUAUUUAAAUGUUAUCAUUACAUGAAUUGUACAGAUAUUAAUGUGUAUGUAAUUAAUAGAAAUAUGAUAAGACAAA